rnacentral:rRNA from 1 species
UUUCCGGUUGAUCCCGCCGGAGGCCACUGCUAUCGGGGUUCGAUUAAGCCAUGCGAGUCGAGAGGGUUUAGACCCUCGGCGGACUGCUCAGUAACACGUGGAUAACCUGCCCCAAGGUGGAGGAUAACCCCGGGAAACUGGGGAUAAUACUCCAUAGAUUAGAGAUACUGGAAUGUUCUUUAGUCAAAAGUUCUGGCGCCUUAGGAUGGAUCUGCGGUCGAUUAGGUUGUUGUUGGGGUAACGGCCCAACAAGCCUGUAAUCGAUACGGGUUGUGGGAGCAAUAGCCCGGAGAUGGAAUCUGAGACAAGAUUCCAGGCCCUACGGGGCGCAGCAGGCGCGAAAACUUUACAAUGCAGGAAACUGUGAUAAGGGAACCCCGAGUGCCCGUAUACGCGGGCUGUCCAGGUGUUUAAAAGUCAUCUGAAGAAAGGGCCGGGCAAGACCGGUGCCAGCCGCCGCGGUAAUACCGGCGGCUCGAGUGGUGGCCACUAUUAUUGGGCUUAAAGCGUCCGUAGCUGGACUGAUAAGUCUCUUGGGAAAUCCGCCGGCUCAACCGGCGGGCGUCUAAGGGAUACUGUUGGUCUAGGGACCGGGAGAGGUGAGAGGUACUCCGGGGGUAGGAGUGAAAUCCUGUAAUCCCCGGGGGACCACCGAUGGCGAAGGCAUCUCACCAGAACGGCUCCGACAGUGAGGGACGAAAGCUGGGGGAGCAAACCGGAUUAGAUACCCGGGUAGUCCCAGCCGUAAACUAUGCGCGUUAGG